rnacentral:lncRNA from 1 species
AAAAGCAGAAAAAAAUAAAAAAAAUAUAAAUGCAUUAAACAUAUUACGGCCUUUUAUUUAUGCCAAACAUAUUAUUUCGAAACAUUAUUUCUAAAUAAAUUAUAUUUUUUGGAUUGCUUAUAAUGCAUUAAACAUUCUACAACCUCUACGUGUGUAAAAUAUAUUAUUUCCAAACAUAAUUUUCUUAAUCAAUUUUUAUUAAUAAAUAGUUUACACUAUAAAUAAAUUACGAACCCCACUCUUUUUCAAUCGAAUCCAUCCGAUUUCAGCACCGUCCCCUCCUCUUUUCUUUGGUAGUAAUGACGUCUGAUUCGGCGACGGGACCAGCCUCUUCUAUAGCGCUGACGUCUAGUUCUUUCGCGAACUUUUUCAAUUUAUUUCGGAUUCUCGUCGUAUCAGACGACAUGCCUUUUCUUGAAGCCGUUUCCGGCGGACUUAUAGCUAGCGGUUACUAUGGUUUCAAUUUUUUAUUUUUUCCUUUUUUAUAUUUGUGUUAUUGGUCAGUAUUCUAAAACUUUUAUAAAAGUUUACAGUACAUUUUUUCUAGUGUAAUUAUUUUUA